GCCCUGGCAAUCACUAUUCCAGUCUCUGCUUCUAUGAGUUUGACUAUUUCAGAUUCCACAUGUAGGAAAUGCUGGAGUCCUUCAUCCGAAUGGUAAAUGGCACUUGUGACAAAAAUCAAAGUAACUAAAAAAGAAUCUGGUUGAAACCUCAGUAACAGUUGGCCUGUCUACUGCCUCACACUAACAAGCCUGUACAAGAAACAUGGUGCCAGCAUCUGCUUCUGGUGAGGACUGCAGGAAGCUUCCAAUCAUGGUCCAAAAAAUGCGGAGCCUGCGUGUCACGUGAUAAGAGAUGGAGCGUGAGAAAGAGGCAGGAGGAGAAAGUGACCCCCACCUUUACAAGUGUCUGUAAUUCUCACUAGCAGUAUAUUAGAGGGCAAAAGAUUUGAACAGACACAUCAGAAAAGAAGACAUACAAAUGGCCGCUAAGCACUUGAAAGGAUUCUGAACACCAUUAGUCAUCAGUGAAAUGCAAAUUAAAGCCAUAAUGAAUGGCGCUAUACAUUUUCAGAAUGGCAAGGAUUGAAGACCGAAAAAAAUCAAGCGUUGAGGAGAGUGACAAAUGGGGAGACAGCCGUGGUGCAUGAUCGCCGAAUAAAUACCAUGUGAGGAUACAGCAAGAAGGUGGCCAUCUACAAGCCAAGGAGACAGGCCUCAGAAGAAACCAACCCUUCUUACACCCUGGACUCAGACUUCUAAUCUCCAGAACUUGUUAAUGCACAAGGUCUUGUGUUGAAAAUGUAGAGCCACGAGAUAAAAGCAGCUUGGAUGGCUGACUCAUAUACAAGGACAACUGCCUGAGAGUCACCAGGGCUAUCAAGAAGUUUGCAGAAACAAGAAAUAAACUUUUACUGUUUUAAACUUUUGUGAAUUUUGGGUUUUGUUUAUCACCAAAUAAACCUAGUCUAUUCUGAUUGUUAUAAGUGGUUAAUUUGGGAAGUCAGAUAUAUUUAAAAUUGGCUUACUGCUGUAACAUAUACAGUCCAAAUUACAUAAUGGCUCAAAUGCAAUAGAAGUCUUUUUUUUUUUUGCUCACAUAUCACUUCACUGAGAUUCUGCAUUAAUUGUAAUGAUGAGGGUGAGGGUGUCU
rnacentral:lncRNA from 1 species